AUCUUGAAAAAUUGUACACGAAAUAAUAACUGACCAAUACUCCAUCAUGGAAAAGUUUUACUAUAUUUGUCACUGGAACAAACAAUAUUCUUAUGUUAUUCGUAGGAUUCCUGAUAUUUCUGAGUUUGCAGAGAAUUCAAGAAGUGGUGCACACUAGAUAAAUGGAAGCUUACGGUCAUAUAAAAGACACAACAGAUUCUUUCGGUUAUGAACUAUCGUAUGACUGCGGAGAAAUUUACUACGCGAAAUGGAGGUGAAAGUGUGCAUAUGCGGCGACCAUUUUGUUAUGUUCGAUAACGUGAGCGAUAACGACGAAAACGAUUUCUUUCCUUGAUUAUGACAACGAUGUCUGGUAUUUCUUUGGUGGUCUAUGUUAGAAUUUGUGUGUUGUUGAAGUUUCCCUCCAACUGGUUCCAUUCCAACCUUUCGAAGUGAUGGUGGCCUGUAAGUUUAGGCUGCUUCCUCCUAGUCUGUUUUGUGCCGCAAUGCCUGACCAGUAUGAAAUUGACGACCCAACAAUCCAAAUUGUUUUAACUGUAAUACUUGCCUUGUAUUACUUGGGAAUAUGCAAUGUGCAUGGAUGUGAAGUGUUAGGGCUGUUGUUGGGGUCCUAAUGUGUGUGUUUGUAUGUGUGGUGGUACACCAACCCCUUUCUUGAACAAGUCUUUAUGGAUAUCCCCGAUUUGCCAAUUCGGUUGCCAUGUCAAUUCGGUUGCCAUGUCAAUUUGUAAAUUGUGUGAUGUGAAGUGGUCAGAUUGUUUAAGGAAUGCAAGAACUUUUCUUAGAACGUUUGAAACUGGAAACGUGUAAUAGGAGUGCCGUCUACGUGAGCACGAGUGUGACUCCAUGAUGGGGCUUAGUAAUGCCAAUACUAGCAUUAAUGAGGCGUCUACCAAAGGCAUAUCCCAGGGCUACAACUCUACAGGCAAAUUUUAGAUUCCCAAAAUGAGAGUGUGCAAGAAAGACGGGAAAUGGUAUUCCCUGGAUAACCGCCGACUCUGGGUCUUCAGAAAGUUGGAAGCAGAUGGUGAUAUAACUAACGUGAAAGUCAUGCAAGUUAACAACGCUCGUCUG